GCAGCAGGCACGCAAAUUACCCACUCCCGGCACGGGGAGGUAGUGACAAAAAAUAACGAUACGGGACUCUAUUGAGGCCCCGUAAUCGGAAUGAGUACACUUUAAAUCCUUUAACAAGGAUCCAUUGGAGGGCAAGUCUGGUGCCAGCAGCCGCGGUAAUUCCAGCUCCAAUAGCGUAUAUUAAAGUUGUUGCGGUUAAAAAGCUCGUAGUUGGUUCUGCGUGCCGCGCUGUCGGUUCGCCGCCUGUCGGUGUAACUGGCAUGUCGCGGCAUGUCCUGUCGGUGGUGAACGGGGUCCACGGUACUGCAUGGGCUUUUAAUAGCCGAUGUUUGGGCCGUGUGUAUUUCCGUUCGCCGAUCUCUCCUACUCCGGUGCUCUUAAACGAGUGUCGAGGUAGGCCGACACGUUCACUUUGAACAAAUUAGAGUGCUUAAAGCAGGCUGAAAUAUCUGCCUGAAUAGUGGUGCAUGGAAUGAUAAAACAGGACCUCAGUUCUAUUUUGUUGGUUUUAGGAAUAUGAGGUAAUGAUCAAUAUGGACUGGCGGGGGCAUUCGUAUUGCGACGUUAGAGGUGAAAUUCUUGGAUCGUCGCAAGACGCACUAGAGCGAAAGCAUUUGCCAAGUAUGUCUUAAUUGAUCAAGAACGAAAGUUAGAGGUUCGAAGGCGAUCAGAUACCGCCCUAGUUCUAACCAUAAACGAUGCCAGCCAGCGAUCCGCCGAUGUUCCUUUAAUGACUCGGCGGGGAGCUUCCACCCGGGAAACCAAAGCUUUUGGGUUCCGGGGGAAGUAUGGUUGCAAAGCUGAAACUUAAAGGAAUUGACGGAAGGGCACCACCAGGAGUGGAGCCUGCGGCUUAAUUUGACUCAACACGGGAAACCUCACCAGGCCAGGACAUUGGAAGGAUUGACAGAUUGAUAGCUCUUUCUUGAUUCAGUG
rnacentral:rRNA from 1 species